UACGAAGGGGGCUAGCGUUGUUCGGAAUUACUGGGCGUAAAGGGCGCGUAGGCGGUUUGUACAGUCAGAUGUGAAAUUCCUGGGCUCAACCUGGGGGCUGCAUUUGAUACGUGCGGACUGGAGUGGGGAAGAGGGUCGUGGAAUUCCCAGUGUAGAGGUGAAAUUCGUAGAUAUUGGGAAGAACACCGGUGGCGAAGGCGGCGACCUGGUCCUUGACUGACGCUGAGGCGCGAAAGCGUGGGGAGCAAACAGG
rnacentral:rRNA from 1 species